GAUGAACGCUGGCGGCGUGCCUAAUACAUGCAAGUCGAGCGAACGGACGAGAAGCUUGCUUCUCUGAUGUUAGCGGCGGACGGGUGAGCAACACGUGGAUAACCUACCUAUAAGACUGGGAUAACUUCGGGAAACCGUAGCUAAUACCGGAUAAUAUUUUGAACCGCAUGGUUCAAAAGUGAAAGACGGUCUUGCUGUCACUUAUAGAUGGAUCCGCGCUGCAUUAGCUAGUUGGUAAGGUAACGGCUUACCAAGGCAACGAUGCAUAGCCGACCUGAGAGGGUUGUCGGCCACACCUGAAGUGAGACCACGGUCCGACCCCUACGGGAGGGAGGCGGUGGGGAUCUUUCGCAAUUGGGGGAAGGCCGACGGAGCAACGCCGCGUGAGUGAUGAAGGUCUUCGGAUCGUAAAACUCUGUUAUUAGGGAAGAACAUAUGUGUAAGUAACUGUGCACAUCUUGACGGUACCUAAUCAGAAAGCCACGGCUAACUACGUG
rnacentral:rRNA from 1 species